UUCUAUUUUCCGUACAGUCCUUUCCUGCUCUACUAUGUUGUGGCUGUGGUUCAGUGGAAAGGGUAUUCAUUUCGGAGUAAGAAGAACUGGGAUCAAAUCGCACCUCUGAUGCCUGUUGCUCCUGUGACCCUGGACAAAUUCUGGACCUCCACAGUUCCAGACCAGCAGAAGAAGAUCAAAAAGUGCUGAUAACUUUGAGACAACAUGGAUAUGCUAACUUUGAAGUUUUACCCGACAACUUUGAGAUGAUUUGGAUUUAUUAAUGAAUUAACUCCUACGAAGCACAGGCCCCAGCUUCUUCUCUGCCUGGUGUUCCUGGAGCAAUCAGCAAGUGGAGCUUCCUGUUCUGGCUUCAGAAAAAUGCCAGAGACCAGCAGCUGGUGAUAGACCCUCAAAUCAACCUUUAAAGACAAAUGUAGAAGAGACCAUAAACAGAGGGUCUGGGGAGAGAGACCCCCCACAGCCAAUAUUCUGGAGAGGGGAUGAAGAAGGGGACAAACCUGAAGGUACCAUAGGGAGCCCAUUGCUUGGAAGAUGGGGAUGCCUCAGGGACUGGGGGUGGGAGGAAGGAGCUCAACUAGAGCUGAUUAGGAAGGAUGCAGCCUACUAUUUGGCAGCUUCCAAUUUUAACUCAUUAUUCCUGUUAAUCAGAAGCUAGGCUCAGUGAUUUGGAGAUGCUCAUUCAAAGGUAUAAGUACUAUGUUAAUGCCCUUGGUAUUUCUGUGCCCUGACAAAAAAACUGUGGUCAUCCCACCUUGGUGGGACUUGAUCUUAGAAAGUCAGGACAGAGGACAUCUCUGAAUAUGGCUUCCCUGUGGUCUUAGAUGAGUGUAGAGCAGUGGAUUCCAUAACAAGGACUAGAAAGCCCA
rnacentral:lncRNA from 1 species